GAUGAACGCUGGCGGCGUGCCUAAUACAUGCAAGUCGAGCGAACAGACGAGGGCCUUGCGCGUCUGACGUUAGCCGCGGACGGGUGAGUAACACGUGGAUAACCUACCUAUAAGACUGGGAUAACUGCGGGAAACCGGAGCUUAUACCGGAUAAUAUAUUGAACCGCAUGGUGCAAUAGUGAAAUACGGUUUUGCUGUCACUUAUAGAUGGAUCCGCGCCGCAUUAGCUAGUUGGUAAGGUAACGGCUUACCAAGGCGGCCAUGCGUAGCCGACCUGAGAGGGUGAUCGGCCACACUGGAGGUGAGACAGGGUCAAGAGGACUACGGGAGGCAGCAGUAUGGAAUCUGAGGCAAUGGGGGAGAGCCUGACGGAGCGACGCCGAGUGAGUGAUGAAGGUCUUCGGUUCGUAAAACUCUGUUAUUAGGGAAGAACAAAUGUGUCAGUAACUAUGCGCGUCUUGACGGUACCUAGUCAGAAAGCCACGGCUAACUACGUG
rnacentral:rRNA from 1 species